GUGGGGAAUUUUGGACAAUGGGCGCAAGCCUGAUCCAGCCAUGCCGCGUGUCUGAAGAAGGCCUUCGGGUUGUAAAGGACUUUUGUCAGGGAAGAAAAGGCAGUUGCUAAUAUCGAUUGCUGAUGACGGUACCUGAAGAAUAAGCACCGGCUAACUACGUGCCAGCAGCCGCGGUAAUACGUAGGGUGCGAGCGUUAAUCGGAAUUACUGGGCGUAAAGCGAGCGCAGACGGUUUGUUAAGCAGGAUGUGAAAUCCCCGAGCUCAACUUGGGAACGGCGUUCUGAACUGGCAAGCUAGAGUAUGUCAGAGGGGGGUAGAAUUCCACGUGUAGCAGUGAAAUGCGUAGAGAUGUGGAGGAAUACCGAUGGCGAAGGCAGCCCCCUGGGAUAAUACUGACGUUCAUGCUCGAAAGCGUGGGUAGCAAACAGGAUUAGAAACCCUAGUAGUCC
rnacentral:rRNA from 1 species